GACGAACGCUGGCGGCGUGCUUAACACAUGCAAGUCGAACGGGCUCUGUCUGGCUGUGUGCUGGGUGGGGUUAGUGGCGAACGGGUGAGUAAUACGUGAGUAACCUGCCCUCUUCUUUGGGAUAAGCCUUGGAAACGGGGUCUAAUACUGGAUAUUCCUGUCUGGUCGCAUGGCUGGGUGGGGAAAGUUUUUUUCGGUGGGGGAUGGGCUCGCGGCCUAUCAGCUUGUUGGUGGGGUGAUGGCCUACCAAGGCGUCGACGGGUAGCCGGCCUGAGAGAGUGACCGGCCACACUGGGACUGAGAUACGGCCCAGACUCCUACGGGAGGCAGCAGUGGGGGAUAUUGCACAAUGGGCGCAAGCCUGAUGCAGCGACGCCGCGUGGGGGAUGACGGCUUUCGGGUUGUAAACCUCUUUCGUCGGGGGACAAGGCUCUGCUUGGUGGUGGGGUUGAGGGUACCCGGUGAAGAAGCGCCGGCUAACUACGUG
rnacentral:rRNA from 1 species